CCCCGGGCGGCUGACACCUUCCAGUCCUGAACAGGCUUAUCAAGGCCUUGCCUAUUGGUGGAGUAAAGUGUUUGCGUCCCUGAUAUCAGCAGUAAAGACCAAUCGAUUCCACGAACCGUCCAAUCUUAUCAUAAUCAUGGUGGACGUUCGUACCUCGUGGCAAUUCCCUGAUAUCGUAUCUGAAGAUAUGAUCGAGUGUAUAAAUAUGGGACCAUCGAUUGAUCGACUCUCUAUCGAGGUUUGAGCUGUGAUUAAUAUUGACUUCAGUGUUCUGAAUAUAAUGGUAGUUAUAUAGGACACGUGAGUCGACGGAUAUUACGGCUACAUAUCUGAGUUGGACAGGGGAUCUUGACAGUUUGCUUUAUGCUGCCAGAUCUAUCUUUCCAGCUCAUAUGUGAGCCCACCUACGUCAUGACACAUCAGCAGUAGAAGAAAUAAACAAGAAAUUGCGUAAAGGAUUAAGUGGAGGUGUGAUCUCUUCACUUUUUAUGUUUAAAGUGAGAUUCAACUCCUCCAACUUAACCCUGAAUCGCAUUUGCAUCUGAACGGCGAUCUUCUGAAGCUCAAAUAAUUUGAUAAAUUAUUUAUUGUAACUAUUGCUUAUGAUUUCAUGUGUCACAAGGUUGAAUUAUGCGUAUUAAAGCUGUAAAAUUUAUAUUUUUGACAAAUAAAGAUAGUAAAAAUU